GAUGAACGCUGGCGGCGUGCCUAAUACAUGCAAGUCGAGCGAACGGACGAGAAGCUUGCUUCUCUGAUGUUAGCGGCGGACGGGUGAGUAACACGUGGAUAACCUACCUAUAAGACUGGGAUAACUUCUGGAAACCGGAGCUAAUACCGGAUAAUAUUUUGAACCGCAUGGUUCAAAAGUGAAAGACGGUCUUGCUGUCACUUAUAGAUGGAUCCGCGCUGCAUUAGCUAGUUGGUAAGGUAACGGCUUACCAAGGCAACGAUGCAUAGCCGACCUGAGAGGGUGAUCGGACACACUGGAACUGAGACACGGUCCAGACUCCUACGGGAGGCAGCAGUAGGGAAUCUUACGCAAUGGGCGAAAGCAUGACGGAGAAACGCCGCGUGAGUGAUGAAGGUCUUCGGAUCGUAAAACUCUGUUAUUAGGGAAGAACAUAUGUGUAAGUAACUGUGCACAUCUUGACGGUACCUAAUCAGAAAGCCACGGCUAACUACGUG
rnacentral:rRNA from 1 species